AUGGGUUGGCUGACUAAGAUCCUAAAAGGUUCCGGUCAUAAAGGGCCCUAUCAUGGUAAAUAUGGACAUGAAAGAACAUGGGAUGAGCCUCGAAAUUCAGUGGAAGAAGACAUACAUUGUGCUAUAGCAUUGUCCCUUUCGGAACUAGAUCAGGAAGGAAAAAGUGUAGCCGAGGAAUCUCAAUCAGAGGAUGAAGAACAGCCUGCUAAAGUGGAAUCAGAUGAUGAUGAAUCACCUGCCAAAGUCGAAUCAGAGGAUGAUGAAUCACCUGCCAAAGUUGAAUCAGAGGAUGAUGAGCCAGCUGCUAAAGUUGAAUCAGACCAUGAUGAACCAGCUGCCAAAAUUUCAUAUAAGGAAGAUGAUCAAAGUGCUAAAGGUCAACUGGAGGAAGAUGAACAACUUGCAAUGGCUAUUCAGGAAAGUUUGAAUGUGGAUUCUCCUCCUUGACAUGACACUGGCAGUAAUUUUCAACCAUAUCCAUUCUCCAAUCCAGCUGGGAACAGGAUAUGUGCUGGCUGUAAACGUGGGAUUGGCCAUGGCGAUACUUGAGUUGUGUUGGUGCUGUUUGGCAUCCAGAUUGUUUUUGUUGCCAUGCUUGCAAUCUUCCAAUUACUGAUUAUGAGUUUUCUAUGUCUAGGAAUCAUCCUUACCACAAAUCCUGCUACAAGGAGAAGCAUCAUCCAAGAUGUGAUGUUUGCAAGAGUUUUAUCCCAACAAACUCAGCUGGUCUUAUUGAGUAUAGGGCACAUCCUUUCUGGGUACAAAAGUACUGCCCCUCUCAUGAGCGUGAUAGGACUCCACGGUGCUGUAGCUGUGAAAGAAUGGAGCCAAAGGACACAAAAUACUUGUUACUUGAUGAUGGUCGAAAGCGCUGUUCGGAGUGUCUGGACUCAGCAAUUAUGGAUACUCACAAAUGCCAACCCCUUUACCUUGAAAUACAAGAAUUUUACGAAGGUUUAAAUAUGAAAGUGGAACAGCAAGUUCCAAUGCUCUUGGUAGAGAGACAAGCACUAAACGAGGCCAUGGAGGGAGAAAAAAAUGGUCAUCUUCACUUGCUUGAGACUAGAGGACUCUGCUUAUCAGAAGAACAGACUGUUACCACUAUUUUAAGGAGGCUGAAGAUUGGAGCAGGCUACCGCCUGAUAGACAUGAUAACUGAGCCUUAUAGACUGGUUUGUCGCUGUGAAGUGAUAGCAAUUCUCGUGUUGUAUGGUCUUCCCAGGUUAUUGACAAGGUCUAUUCUUGUUCAUGAGAUGAUGCAUGCAUGGCUACGCCUCAAAGGUUAUCCAAAUUUGAGCCCAGAGGUUGAAGAAGGUCUCUGCCAAGUGCUGGCACAUGUGUGGCUUGACGCAGAGACGUAUUCUGCUCCUGGUAGUGAUGUUGGAACAUCAUCUGCGUCCUCCUCUUCCUCCUCAGCGUCCUCUUCUACUUCAGGAUCAUCUAAGAAAGGUAAACGUUCCGACUUUGAGAAGAAACUAGGUGACUUUUUUAAACACCAAAUCGAGUCAGAUUCAUCCACAGCUUAUGAUUCAGUUUCUGAUAAUAUGUACAUAAAUGCAGUUUCUCGUUUUCUCCUAUUUGUGGUUACACCUACUUGGGUGGCUAAUGGACUGCGUAAUAGUAUUGUGGGUGGCAUCUGUUGUCUAAUUAUUGGAAUUUUAGUUGUCAUAACAGCAAAGGAAUUGGAGGUUUUAGUGAUUGUUUUAGUAACUGUCAAUGCAAUUGUCAUUGCUUUACAGUCAGACUAUCGGGUUAGCGGGCAUCUUAUGAUGUCCAGUUGUCUGGCUGGAGACUAUCUUGUCAAGCAACAACUCAGGCUACCAAGGUUCAGUGGGAGUUCUUGA